CACUACCACUAGUAUGUGCAUUUGUGUGAGAGGUAGGGGAUAAGAGAGCAGUAAAACAUAAGGCAGCAUAUGUAUUCCUCCACUGGACUGGACUCUUCCACCACUGAAGGAUUAUCUGCCAAGUAAUUACUACUGCCCAUCAGGCAGCAAUGAGAGGCUGGGCAAGAAGCCUGCCAACCGAUGAAGGGACAACAAGCACAUGACAAGGAAAGCAGCAGAUCCAGGUUCAUAUAAGUGCUAGAAGAAACGUAAAAGAGAAAGAUAUGACAGAAAGUUAUCCUUCUUGGGCUGGAACUUGAAGCUGUGACGUAGAGAGCAGUGAUCAAAGGAACACAGGCUGAAAGGAGAGCAGAAUAAAGGUUUUUGAGGCAGAAACAAGCUAGGCUGGUUUGAGAAACAGAAAGAGCAGGGUGGGAGAAGGGGAUAGCACUAGCUGAACUGGGCAAGGCAGGCAGGCCCCGGUCACCCAGUGCUUUUUAAACCAGGGCAAAGAGAUUGGAUUUUACUCUACAGGUAACAGGAAACUAUUGAAAGGAAUUAAGCAGAGAAAUGACCUCUUUCACAAGAUGAAGUUUUGCUUUUUUUUUACAAAGUACAUUAAUGUAAUGAUGGCAUCUAUGACUUAAGCUGAGACCUCAUAAAGGCCACCACCCAUUGGAGGGAACCAAUGAAAUACCAGGGCUUCCUCCACAGGGCCACUGUGAGAGGAGCUGCAGAUGCACGGGACAGAUGCCAGGGCAUCUGCUCAGUCUAGAGGGAGAAAGAUGUCCUGGCAACUCAGGUGGCAGUGUGACAUAUCAACAGCAGUGGAAUUACAGGGAGAGAUCGGAACUGAAGACAGGAAGGAGCAGGACCCACUGAAGGAGUCACAGAGCAGAAUGAGCCCUCCCCAAGCCAGUUACUUAAGGGGCAUUGUUCAAAACAACCUUACCCUCCUCACCCAAGCCUGACAUACAUGUGAGCAAGCUCUUUCCUAAGCCCCUCGGAUGCUGAAGAGCAGGCCCAGGGGAGUGGGUCCUCUGUGCCAAGAACAAACUGGCCCAGGAUUCUGGAAAUACCACUAUGAGAAUCAGGAAUGGUGGCUUCCUUCACCUUCUAGAAAGCAACACAGUAAAGUGACAACAGAUGGAAUUAAAGAAGGCACAUCUCUUCCUUUUACCUUCCAAGGAUUUUGCUGUGCUCCACUGUCCCACUUCCCUUUGUUUUCUCCCUGGUUCCUACAGAGAAUUCCCCAACAAGAGGCAAAAACCUCAGAGCAAAAAAUUGCACCUCUGUGCCAAGGGGAUGGCUUCUUUUAAAACUAUGCUGGUUCUCUUCAAAGCUCCUUAGGACUUGUGCCCUGUUGGCAGAAUUAGCAAUGAAGAACUGGGGCUGUGCUCGUUCUUGGCGGGAGACUUGAACAACUUCCCCAACCCACAGACUCACGGGUGUUCUGAAGAUUAAAAGUACAAAUGCAAAGAAGGUCUUAUGCAUAAAAAAGCAUGCAUCCACUAUCUACUACAUGCUGAGUGUUAAUAAACGUAAGAUUCCAUGUUCACUAAUAUACUGUUAUUAUUAGCUCACUGGGGAUUAUAUGAGAGAAGGGAGAAAUCACUGAAUGGCAUUUUACCUUAACACUUUCUGAAGAAGACAGAGAGAGGGAAAGCAGGCUGGAUCUAUUUUGUGCCCUGGUUAAUUUUGGACACAACUGCACACCAGCUCUGCCAAACAAUAGAAGGCACUAGAAGAAACAAGCUGAAAACAGAUAUCCCCAAGGCUUUCAAAUACAAUGCCUGAGUUACUGCAUUUCAAACAAACUGGAAGCCAGCGCCUUCCCAGAUUAGUGCUGGAUGGAAUGCCAUCAUUUUGCCACGGGACUGACAAGAAGCAUAAUUCUGUAACUUCUAUCCAUCAUCCACAGCGAUGUCAGCUCUCCCUAAAGACAGGUCAUUUACCAAUGGGCUGGACAGGCCAGAUUCUAUGUACCCAGAUGAACUGAGUUUCUCCCAUCCAAUCUUCAACUCAUUCUCCUGCUUCCCAUGUUAAAAUCUAAUAAAAGGCACAAGGAGCUAUACACCUAAGUGUAUGUUCUCAAGAAAAUUAAGUUCAAAGCUUGGGGGGGGGCAUAUUAAGUAAAAGGGAAUGUCUUUGGGCCACUGCCAUUUUGAUUCUCAUUCACUGUGCUGUCAUUUCCAGUCACUUUUCUGAUGGCUUUGAACUUCUGAACAAGAGAGUGCUGGAAAUGAUGACUAAUGUUUUUCAUGGGAUAGACAAAGUAUUACUUUCUGCAGCUGCACUUUUAAGAGAAUGUAUAUGCUAAGGGUACUAAAUUUUCAGUACAUUCACUUCCUAACAAACACACAUAACCAAAUAAUUUAAGAGAAGCAAGUUUCUCAGUUACUAAGAUAACUAAGACCCAGGGAAACAAACACACUGGUGUGUGAGCCUUUACGUAUGAUACUGCAACCACAAUAUUUCAGGGCAUGUUGGUAACACACAUCAAAAUACUGUAUUAAGUAUACAUUCUUUCAGCCAAGAAUCCCACUUACAAAGAUUUACCAUAUGGAGGUAAUCCCAGGUGGAGAACUAAACAAAACAAUAUGCAAGAGAGGAGUGGUUACAAGUGUUAUGAUCCAUCUACAUAAUAAAGCAGCCAGGAAAUAUAUGAUCACUGAAAUAAAAUGGCAUCCUCAACACAGAGUUCAGUGGGAAAAGCAGCAGGCUACAAAAUAGCAUGGAAGGACUCUUUCCAUUUAUGUAAAAUAUAUCCAUGAGCAAGCAUCUAUGUAUACAGAGCUAGCUGGAGAACAUUCACCAACCAGUUCAUGGUGCCUGCCUCAGGGGAGUGGGAUUCUAGAAACCUUUGACUUUUUCCAUGUACUUUUCCAUAUCAUCCAAUUCCUUACAAUGAUCAUGUAUUCUUUUCUUCCACAAAACAACAAAGUUACAUGUGUUUUAAAGCUCCAGAAAGGAAAUGAUUUCUAAUCAUAGAGCAUAUUCCUGGAAAUCCAAAUUUCAGAUAAAUAUUUGUAUUUUGACUUGUUUCUUUUCAUAAAGGUGAACACCAUAAUUUCUGAGAUAUGUUUUCUGAAUAAACAUGGGCCUAUCACAAAAAUUAAUUAAAACAAUUCACAAGAAAUAAAUUUUUUUUCUGGUGCUGGAGAUUGAAUCUAAGACCUUGCACAUGCUAAGCGAGUACCAUAUUCUGAGCACCACUGAGCUACUUCAUCACCCCUAAGACAACUUUUUAAUCAAAACAUGUAUAGUCAUGCAAGUGCCUUCUCUUUAUAUACUUUUCCAUGUGUUUUCACCCACAUAUCACUUCUCCCAGUGUUCACAGACCUGAGGUAGAUGUGAAUGACAGAACAGUCAUUAUUUUACAAUGAAGGAACUGAUUUAGAGAAUACCUGCCUAACACUAAGGCCAGAGCUAGUUUUCCUGACCUGUUUUCCUUUCUUUAUAUUUAAUUUCAUCCACUUUAAAGAAAAACAAAAAAGCAAAAGUCAAGGUGGGGUUUUUUUGGUGUUGUUUUGUUUCCCCUAUUUCAAAACAAAGUAGCUUCCAAGAACCUGUUCAAAAAAGUAUCAACUGGUCACCAAAAAAGAAAAAGUAGAAAUAUAUAAGGUGGCCUUGUGAGAUGCCUAAUUACCCAAGAUGCCUAAGUUACUGUUAUCAGUGAUCCUUUACAUUUCCCUCCUUGGAUUUCAUAUUUUCUAAGUUAUUUUUACAAAAUAUAUAUAUAUAUAUAUAUAUAUAUAAAAUAAUAACUAAUGUUCCCUUCUGCAUUAAUCAAAGGCAUAUUUAUGUAGUAGCAAUGGCGGCUUUUAGUAGCAUGAGAAUAAAAUCAAACUUCUUGCAAAAAGUAAAGGCAUUUAGUAUUUUAGCCCUAAAAAUGGAAAUCCUAUCAAUGGUAAAGUUAUGUGUUUCUCAGAAUUAAAGAAACAAAGCCUAAAUACUCAUACUCUCUGCCUCGAUCUCUGGGAGACAAUGGUCCCCCAGGCUCAGAACCCUUAGUCCACACAACUUAGGAAGCCAUACUCCAUGAAAAAUAACAAAAAGUAAAUUUCCUACAACAAAACCUCUGUAAGCCUCCAAAAGCCAAAGUGAAUAAGGAACCAAUAGCUUCUGUGGAGCAGAAGGCUGUCAAUGAAUAUUUAAGACUCAGCCUCAGUAGUCUCUCAGAAUCCCCAAACCACUAAAAAUAUUCUAAAGAAACAAAUUCCAUCUUUAAAAUAAAGAAGGGGUCAUAACUUGCACAAAUUUUCAGAGAAAAUUUCUACUUCACAUGUUAAACACCGACUGAUUUUAAAUGAAAGUGAUAACUAAAUAACUGCAAUAACAUCAUACAAUGUUAUUUCCACACCUCUACUGAAAACUGAAUAAAUGCUGCUGCCCAAAUUACAGAAGGGGAAAUGCAAACCGCCCUUCCAUCCUAAUGGCCUAAGUCUUCAUUUCAAAUAAUUGUCCCUCAAACUCCUAUAAUCAUUAACCCAGCUAAAUAUAUAACCAGACAUGACAGCCCUCAAUUUCACAAAAGCACUCCAGAAAACUAGAAGUUAGGACUAAAACAAAAAACCUAGCUCAAAAUAUGUAGGCAAGGACAUAAUCUUCUUGGCAGGCUUCAGGAAGUAGCCAAACACCUGCUGAUAUUUAGACUGCCCUUACUAAUAAGUCCGCCCUCCCUCUUAGAUUUCCAACCCUCCUCUUGAACAAGAGAACAUAGCUUAUUUCAGAAGGAUAGAGCUCACAUUGCAUAACACCUAAACUGCAAUCUCUUCUCUUGACCAGAAAGAUCAUUUUUAUAAUACUUUCCUGUUUCAAUACCACCCAUCAGAUUUUUACCUUUAUCUAAAAAUGCAUGUUAAAUAUUCAGCUACAUAUGGUGUUGCAGAAAGAAAACCACAGCUCAACCUAGACCCCUACUGCAAUUAAAGUUUACAAAUGUAUAAAAGCACCUGCCAUCAGGCUACGUAUUCAACAUGCACUAAUCUGUUUAAUUCUUAUGAUAACUACAUGAAGUGGGCACAGAGAAGGUGCAGAUAAUACUCAGCCACACCUGUCCCUAUGGGUAGGUAAAGUCAGAGAAAAUGGAGACACAGUUCAUUUUAGAGGUAGGAAGGACCAAAAAAAAUGGGGUUUUUUUCCAUAUUUAAAUAAAUUAGGGAGCCGGGGAUUUAGCUUAUUGGUUCUGCCGCCAGCCUCACAAGCAAAAGGUCCAGAGUUCGAUCCCCGGUACCAAUAAAUAAAUCAAUUAAUUAAUAAGGGAAAGAUAAAAUAUUGUUUAGCUAACAUGCUUCAUGAAAUUUCUGGAGCCUUUAAAAGGAAAGAAAAAAGGGCAGGGCAAAGGGGUAAGAGAACCAGACAUUCUGAACUCAUUUCUCUCAUUUAAAGGUAGGUAAAAGAUAAACAGGGUUGAACUAAUAAAUAAUGGAAACCAGAAGACUUUAGGAAGAAGGAAAACUAUGUAGCAGAAUGUCCUACUAAAGGUCUAAGUAGAAGACACACCCAAGUGAGCACAAGAAGCCACCUGCAGGGAACCCCGGAACACUGGUAUACUUAGAGACCGGCCCAAAGGCCAAGGCCAUGCUGGGAGGUAGGGAGCCAGUGACUAAGACACUGCAAGAAGCAAGAAAUGGUCACAGGAAGUAAAAGUAAAUAAUUAAAAUGGCAAAUGGAAAAAACAUGUCAACCAAAGGCAGGAUGUGCAGAGAAGGAAAAGUCCUAUUCUAAGUUCCAAGCCCCUAGAGCACGUUGGCAGAGUGAGUGCAGAAAUGAGAAAAGUUCUGAUGCCUUAAGACCCCUCCAAAUCCUUAGUCAACAAGACCAAAACCAGACUGGUUAUGUUUCUCCCAAACUCAAGACUCCUCACACUACUCCAUGUGGCUGUCUAAUUUCCAAUGAUCAUCCCUCUUUCUCUUCAUGUGAUUUGAGAUACAUUCUUCCCAAACCACUUUGAUAGGGUCCUGAAAAGUUUGUGAAGGAAAGAAUAAAAGAAUGUUUUUCGCUAAUGUACCCAAUUGAAGAGAUUGUUAUCCCUUCCAGUUUUGCUCAGAUAAGUUUUGUGCAACCUCCUCUUUCUCAACUCGUAUGAAUAAAAUGUAUAAGUAAAUGGUUUUGAGCAAAUUUAUUAUUUUUAUUAUUACUAAUAAUCUUUCCUUCCUUAUGUAUUAUCUCCUGAAAAAUAUACCCUUAAAAUUUGUGCACAAUGUUUUAGAGCUGUGAUUCUCAACUAGGAGCAACUGUGUGCCACAUGGGGCAUCUGGCAAUGUCUGGAGACUGGGGAAAGGGUGUUGGGACACCUAGUAGGUACAGGCCAGGGAGGCUGCUCAGAGUAGUGCAAUGUCCAGGGCAGACCCAUAACAAGGAAUUAUCUGGCUCAAAAUGUCAAUAGUGCCAAGAUCCAGAAGGUACAAGGUAAGUUAGAAUGGUUUGAGGUGGAGGACUCUUCAUAAUAUAAAAUAUCUCAAUACUCUUUCACAAAUGCUACCCUCUUUAAUAGACACAGAAUCGAAGUGCACACUAUGUCUUACAAUUUCAUAAUUAUAUAUUCCAUAGGGGAGAGGGUGAAGAGAUAAUUGUACAUGAAGACUCAGAGUUACAUGGACCCCCGAUGUCAUCACAUGGGACUGAUAGUUUGAGAAACUGAUGGUAAAUAUGUCCUGUAGCUCAGAAGCAGAGUGGGCAGCUCUGAUUUCACAUUGUAAGCCAGUCUUUUUUUUUUUUUUUGGUACUGGGGAUCGAACUCGGUGCCUUGUGCUUGCGAGGCAGGCGCCGGAACCACUGGGCUAAAUCCCUGGCCCUUGUAAGCCACUCUUAAUCGAAUCAGAACACUAUUUUAUCUUCUGGCACUCUGCCAAAUGACAACUGAAAAGUAAAA